UACAGAGGGGGCAAGCGUUGUUCGGAAUUACUGGGCGUAAAGGGCGCGUAGGCGGCCUUCUAAGUCGAACGUGAAAUCCCCGGGCUCAACCCGGGAACUGCGUCCGAUACUGGAAGGCUUGAAUCCGGGAGAGGGAUGCGGAAUUCCAGGUGUAGCGGUGAAAUGCGUAGAUAUCUGGAGGAACACCGGUGGCGAAGGCGGCAUCCUGGACCGGCAUUGACGCUGAGGCGCGAAAGCCAGGGGAGCAAAGCGGG
rnacentral:rRNA from 1 species